CGGGGUAUGGUCUAGUGGUAUGAUGGGCGCAUGGGGUGCGUCCGACGUCAGUUCGAUUCUGACUACCCCGA
rnacentral:tRNA from 2 species